AGUAACUUUAGUGCGAUAGAGACAACUUUGUUGAAUGGUUUUAUAAGGAAGAUUUCUAAGAGAGGCGUAAAGAAGGAAAGAGAAGCGUUUGAAGGUUUAAAGAUAGUUACAGAGCGCGGUUUGCGAUUUUCCCUGUCGUUUCCCGGAUAACUUCUGCGUCAGCCUUUAUCACCGGGAAAAAAAAUUCGUUAGCUUGGCGCGGCCUAGCUUGGCCUGUUUCCAGAACAAGCCGCCAGAGGUCCGGCGUUACGUGCGAACCGAGGCCACGCCGAUGAAUUUGGUGACGUAAGAGAAUAAAACCACCAUAAAGGCUUGCUUGGUUCAUUAGCGCAAACCGCGGAGCAUGGCAUCCUUGUCGUUAUAAUCCAUAGUCUGAGUGUAUCUCCACAAUAUGUACUUUUAAAACGUGCGCCGCGUUGGCACGGGACUCCGAUACUCUACCAGAGAAUAAUAAAACGACGAAACGUUUGCGAUUACGGGAAGUUGUCGGAAUCACUUUCCCAUCUAACAUUUUUGUGCACUUUAAACAUCGAUGUUGCGUUAAUUGCAAAGGGACGAAAGGACACGAGAGUAGAAAGAGAUCAGACACAUUAUUCUAUUUAGAUGAACACGAGUAGAAUUUAUUUCAAAAAUUGUUCGUUCGAUUCGUGAUACGCAUGCGCAACAGGCUCUCCAUUGUUACACGAUAUAAAAGAAAUAGGUUAGUUUUCGAAACGCAUUUCGUUUCUGAAUUGUCGAGUCGAGUCCUGCGGUUGUUCAAUGCUGCAACGAAGUGUAGCAAUAAGGAGAGAUAAUAUACUUGACUUCCACUCGGAGAGGUCGGCUAGAUAAGAGAAGAGCGAACCUGCGAAAUUGACUUUUGUAAUUACCGACCGAGACUGCGCCAAGGUAGCGUUCGAUCGAUCUGCGACCAGUAGAUCAGUCGGAUACGAUAAAGUUUGCAAUUUGCACGCAAAGAGAAAUGAUCUAGGCUCCGAUUCGUUCGAUCAUUCGCCAAUUACCGUGUCAAUCUUUCUUGUGAAACUUCGAUCAAGCCUGCGUUUGCAGUAACUGCUACGUAACACCAGAUUUUUACAUUUUACGCGUAACCUCUUCCAUUUUUAAAUUCAUUGAUCGAUAUGUCAAUGCUGCAAUUCAUUUCCCUCCAAUGUUAAUAACAUUAACGUUACUUCGUGAAUUCGAUACAAAGAAAAGAAACUUCCUGGCAGAAGAAGCUCUGUAUGCUAAUUAUGCGUAUCGACAUGCACGUGUAGCUUUUGCAAUGAAUAUUCAAGUAUUUUAGAAACAGUA